rnacentral:rRNA from 1 species
AUGGUCUCGUUGGACUACCUUGCUAGCUUGAAGGACUUGGAUGAACUGAAUGAGUUUGCGUGGGACGAGCAUGUGUUGGCAACUGCGUUGAGGGAGGCGAGGAAUUACCAACUAAAGAGGGAGGCUGGGGCAAGUGGCUUCUGGAUAGGGGGCUGUCUACCUAUGUUCGUGGUAUGCCAAACGCAAAUCAUUUUUGUCUAUGUUUUCAUUGGUUCAUAUUUUUGCUUUACUUUAUUUUAUUUUAUCCUGCUCGCAACAAUCAUAUGUACGAUACAACCUUCUGAUUUGUUUUCUUUUUCAAAAAUAUAUGUAGUUAAUUUACAUGGAUUUCCUGGAUGUGCCUCGGUCAUUGAUUAG